AUUGAACGCUGGCGACAUGCCUUACACAUGCAAGUCGAACGGCAGCACGGGUGCUUGCACCUGGUGGCGAGUGGCGAACGGGUGAGUAAUACAUCGGAACAUGUCCUGUAGUGGGGGAUAGCCCGGCGAAAGCCGGAUUAAUACCGCAUACGAUCUACGGAUGAAAGCGGGGGACCUUCGGGCCUCGCGCUAUAGGGUUGGCCGAUGGCUGAUUAGCUAGUUGGUGGGGUAAAGGCCUACCAAGGCGACGAUCAGUAGCUGGUCUGAGAGGACGACCAGCCACACUGGGACUGAGACACGGCCCAGACUCCUACGGGAGGCAGCAGUGGGGAAUUUUGGACAAUGGGCGAAAGCCUGAUCCAGCAAUGCCGCGUGUGUGAAGAAGGCCUUCGGGUUGUAAAGCACUUUUGUCCGGAAAGAAAUCCUUGGCCCUAAUACGGUCGGGGGAUGGCGGUACCGGAAGAAUAAGCACCGGCUAACUACGU
rnacentral:rRNA from 1 species